UACGUAGGUGGCGAGCGUUGUCCGGAAUUACUGGGUGUAAAGGGCGUGUAGGCGGGGAUAUAAGUCAGAUGUGAAAGUCCAUGGCUUAACUGUGGGAUUGCAUCUGAAACUAUAUUUCUUGAGUGCUGGAGAGGGAAGCGGAAUUCCUAGUGUAGCGGUGAAAUGCGUAGAUAUUAGGAGGAACACCAGUGGCGAAGGCGGCUUUCUGGACAGUAACUGACGCUGAGGCGCGAAAGCGUGGGGAGCAAACAGG
rnacentral:rRNA from 1 species